rnacentral:rRNA from 1 species
AUUGAACGCUGGCGGCAUGCCUUACACAUGCAAGUCGAACGGCAGCACGGGAGCAAUCCUGGUGGCGAGUGGCGAACGGGUGAGUAAAGUAUCGGAACGUGCCCAGUCGUGGGGGAUAACGUAGCGAAAGUUACGCUAAUACCGCAUACGAUCUAUGGAUGAAAGCGGGGGAUCGCAAGACCUCGCGCGAUUGGAGCGGCCGAUAUCAGAUUAGGUAGUUGGUGGGGUAAAGGCCCACCAAGCCGACGAUCUGUAGCUGGUCUGAGAGGACGACCAGCCACACUGGGACUGGGCAACGGCCCAGACUCCUACGGGAGGCAGCAGUGGGGAAUUUUGGACAAUGGGCGAAAGCCUGAUCCAGCCAUGCCGCGUGCAGGAUGAAGGCCUUCGGGUUGUAAACUGCUUUUGUACGGAACGAAAAGGUUUGGCCUAAUAAGCUGAGCUCAUGACGGUACCGUAAGAAUAAGCACCGGCUAACUACGUGCCAGCCGCCGCCGUAA